GCUGCUGUAGCUCAGGGGUAGAGCACUUCCUUGGUAAGGAAGAGGUCGUGGGUUCAAAUCCCACCAGCAGCU
rnacentral:tRNA from 1 species